rnacentral:rRNA from 1 species
CACGUAGGGUGCGAGCGUUGUCCGGAAUUAUUGGGCGUAAAGAGCUCGUAGGCGGUGUGUCGCGUCGGCCGUGAAAACCUGCAGCUUAACUGUGGGCGUGCGGUCGAUACGGGCAUCACUGGAGUUCGGCAGGGGAGACUGGAAUUCCUGGUGUAGCGGUGAAAUGCGCAGAUAUCAGGAGGAACACCGGUGGCGAAGGCGGGGUCUCUGGGCCGAUACUGACGCUGAGGAGCGAAAGCGUGGGGAGCAAACAGG